rnacentral:rRNA from 1 species
UACGGAGGGUGCGAGCGUUGUCCGGAAUCACUGGGCGUAAAGGGCGCGUAGGCGGCUGGGGAAGUCGGCGGUGAAAGCCCGGAGCUCAACUCCGGGUCGGCCGUCGAGACUCCUCGGCUCGAGCUCACUAGAGGCAGAUGGAAUUCCGGGUGUAGUGGUGGAAUGCGUAGAGAUCCGGAGGAACACCAGCGGCGAAGGCGGCAUCCUGGACUGGUCCUGACACUCAGGAGCGAAAGCGUGGGGAGCGAUCCGG